AGUCCUGAGGUGUUCACAUAUUAGAUUGCAAAUCUAAAGUCGCAGGGUUAAGCCUGCCGGGACUU
rnacentral:tRNA from 1 species